CGAAGUGGCCAAACUUUCUUUAAAAGAAUUCGGGUAUAAUCGUAUAAUAUACUUUUUGUAGCAUUCAGGGGAGGCUUAGUUCGAUUUCUCUUGACGAGCAGUUUAUUGCGUAAAGUUCGUCUUGUUAACGAGAGUAAAAACUAAAAAAUGGCUCCUCCUCCACUUAUGCCACAAAUAGUUUCUCUUUACAAACUCUUAAAAGUACCUGUGGUUCAGAAAUGUUCACUAUGCUACCUAUCUGCAUCAUUUGUGCUUUACUUAUAUUGGAAAAUUCCUGUGACUGAUGAAAUGAGAAAGAACUCGAAAACAUUGAAUCCGUGGCAAGAAUCUCAUCAUCAUUAGAUAUAGUUGCAUCGUUGAAUUCUUAAAAAGAUUUAAUUUAAAACAA